UUUCUUAUUUUUAGUUCGGUAUAAUUUAUUGACUUUUUAUUAUUACAAAAUUAUACCUUACUACUUUAUGAGUUACAUACGCUUUUGGUUACUCUUUACUUGGCGCCGAGAUCUUUUAUUUUCCGAGGUAGUACUUCUCUAAAGUGGAAGCAAUAUUCCGCGGUAGUGAACGUCACUUCAGUUUUUCUGUGCUCUUAUCUGUAUUAUAGACACAAUAGUUACUGCGAGCCGUAUGUUUUUUCGAUCUUUGCGUUUUUUGAGUGGGCGGUUGUAUUUUCCAACAUCACUUUUCACUGCUCCGAAAUAUGGGAUUUCCAAGGCGGAGAAUUACUAUUUUUACUACGGCCGCCACUGGAAAGUGCGAAGGAUGUUUG